rnacentral:rRNA from 1 species
GAUGAACGCUGGCGGCGUGCCUAACACAUGCAAGUCGAGCGAGAAAUUCCGGACUGAAGCUUCGGUGGAUUGAAGGGAUGGAAAGCGGCGGACGGGUGAGUAACGCGUAGGCAACCUGCCCUUUGCAGAGGGAUAGCCAUUGGAAACGAUGAUUAAAACCUCAUAAUACGAUAGAUUCACAUGAAUGUAUCGUCAAAGAUUUAUCGGCAAAGGAUGGGCCUGCGUCUGAUUAGCUGGUUGGUGGGGUAACGGCCUACCAAGGCGACGAUCAGUAGCCGACCUGAGAGGGUGAUCGGCCACAUUGGGACCGAGACACGGCCCAGACUCCUACGGGAGGCAGCAGUGGGGGAUAUUGCACAAUGGAGGAAACUCUGAUGCAGCAACGCCGCGUGAGGGAAGAAGGUCUUCGGAUUGUAAACUUCUUUUAUGAGGGACGAAGGACGUGACGGUACCUCAUGAAUAAGCCACGGCUAACUACGUGCCAGCAGCC